AUAUGUGGGAACUCCUUCAAGACUGUUGGAAAAGCUUUCCAGAGGGCCCAUUGCCCAGGCGAAGGCUGCAGCUGCUGGCCAGACUGGUCCUGGUGGGACAGACCUCGAGCACAACUCCUCUGACCAUCUGCUCAUACUGGCCCGCUUCCGCCUCUGCCCCUGAGACUGGAUGUCAAGGGUUAAGGGUCAGAGCCUCAAACAGACCUGGAGGUCAAAGAACUGGAGAGACCAGGGAAUUCACCCAUACCUCUAACCAGCAACCAAUAGCUUCUGUCUCUCAUAUUUUCAUAUCACCACAGAGAAAGGCUGUCAUUUGAAUGACAUUUAUUGAUGAUCUUGCAACUUGGCAGUGGCCUAUCUCUAGUGGAUAGAUAUAGGCUACUGCGUCGAGAUGUUUACACUUUUCCAAAUAUUUUUCAUCUUAUUUUACAUUGGUUGAAGAUAUUAUGAAAAGAGACAUUUUUAUAUUUGAAUGGUUUUAAUAAAUGUUGACAUGAAUUCAUUUGAAAAUGUGCUGCUGAUAAGGAAUAGCACUGAGAAAUCUACAUGUUUUAUUCAUUAUGUCAUUAUGCACAUGAGCACAUACUAUUUGGUUUGAUAAUAUUGGUAUUGAAAAUGAAGGCUAUUAUGUUACAGCUAUUGUACCUUAUUUAGCACAAUAAAAUACCUGCAAUUAAAGACACCC